rnacentral:tRNA from 1 species
GGGGAUAUGGCGGAAUUGGCAGACGCUACGGACUUAAAAUCCGUUGGGUGGUGACACCCGUGAGGGUUCAAGUCCCUCUUUCCCCA